rnacentral:lncRNA from 1 species
CUCGCGUCGUGCUGGCACUUUUACUGGCCGAGUCUUAGAGCUGAGCCUGUAGCCAGGCGCCAUCUUUGACGCUGGCAGUCUUGGAUUUCUGCUGGUGUUGCUGCUGUGAGGACGGCGGGCGGCAGCGGCUAAGAAAGAAGAAAGACGUGGCAGCAAGCGGGAGUCGGGGACGGUGUCGGCGGUUCGGUAAAGUUUCUGUUUUCUGGAUUGAUGAAACCGUAAUGAAGAACACCCCCUAAAGUCCCAUAAUCGGUGCGGAUUCCUAUGGGGAAGGCCCAUGUUGUUGACAUCUUGCAGGCCUUGGUUCUGGACCUUGAGAAGGAGGCGGUGGAACUAGUGAUAGCGAUGCUUUUUAGGAUUUGGGGAUAUUCCCUGCCCAAAAAUUUCCUGGAAAAUUGACUAGUAUUAAGUGUGAGUAAAAGGUGUCCACUUUUUUUUAAGUUUUGAUUUUAGUUUUGUCUUGGAUAGUAUUUGGCAAGAUUUAGCCUAGAAAUUAUGUAGUAUUUAUUACAUGAGAAUCAAAAUUGCUUUGUUACGGGGCUGGUUUCAAAAUUUAGAACUCAUUUCUAUGUAUCAAAAUCGUUUUUUGUUUUUGUUUUUUGGGUUUUUUGUUUUUUUUGGUUUUUCUUUUUUUUAAUUCUUAAAUGGUAAAUGUACCAUUGUGAAAUGAAAUUUCAACUCCGAAAGUUUAC